rnacentral:rRNA from 1 species
CAAGUCGAACGGCAGCGCGGGGCAACCUGGCGGCGAGUGGCGAACGGGUGAGUAAUAUAUCGGAACGUACCCUGGAGUGGGGGAUAACGUAGCGAAAGUUACGCUAAUACCGCAUACGAUCUAAGGAUGAAAGCAGGGGACCGCAAGGCCUUGUGCUCCUGGAGCGGCCGAUAUCUGAUUAGCUAGUUGGUGGGGUAAAGGCCUACCAAGGCAUCGAUCAGUAGCUGGUCUGAGAGGACGACCAGCCACACUGGAACUGAGACACGGUCCAGACUCCUACGGGAGGCAGCAGUGGGGAAUUUUGGACAAUGGGCGAAAGCCUGAUCCAGCAAUGCCGCGUGAGUGAAGAAGGCCUUCGGGUUGUAAAGCUCUUUUGUCAGGGAAGAAACGGUGAGGGCUAAUAUCCCUUGCUAAUGACGGUACCUGAAGAAUAAGCACCGGCUAACUACGUGCCAGCAGCCGCGGUAAUACGUAGGGUGCAAGCGUUAAUCGGAAUUACUGGGCGUAAAGCGUGCGCAGGCGGUUUUGUAAGUCUGUCGUGAAAUCCCCGGGCUCAACCUGGGAAUUGCGAUGGAGACUGCAAGGCUAGAAUCUGGCAGAGGGGGGUAGAAUUCCACGUGUAGCAGUGAAAUGCGUAGAGAUGUGGAGGAACACCGAUGGCGAAGGCAGCCCCCUGGGUCAAGAUUGACGCUCAUGCACGAAAGCGUGGGGAGCAAACAGGAUUAGAUACCCUGGUAGUCCACGCCCUAAACGAUGUCUACUAGUUGUCGGGUUUUAAUUAACUUGGUAACGCAGCUAACGCGUGAAGUAGACCGCCUGGGGAGUACGGUCGC